GACGAACGCUGGCGGUGCGCCUAACACAUGCAAGUCGAACGGUGAACCGGGCUUCGGCCCGGGGAUCAGUGGCGAACGGGUGCGUAACACGUGGGCAACCUGCCCCCGACCCUCGGGAUAACCCCGGGAAACCCGGAGCUAAUACCGGAUACUCUCCUCCGACCACCUGGUCGGAUGAGGAAAGGUCCGCCGGUCGGGGAGUGGGCCCGCGGCCUAUCAGCUUGUUGGUGGGGUAACGGCCUACCAAGGCAUCGACGGGUAGCUGGUCUGAGAGGACGACCAGCCACACUGGGACUGAGACACGGCCCAGACUCCUACCGGGAGGCAGCAGUGGGGAAUCUUGGGCAAUGGGCGGAAAGCCUGACCCAGCAACGCCGCGUGAAGGAUGAAAUCCCUCGGGAUGUAAACUUCGCAAGAACGGGAAGAAUAAGU
rnacentral:rRNA from 1 species